rnacentral:lncRNA from 10 species
GUACAUCCUAGAAAGUGCCUUGGGGUCCCACCGUUAUCUUCUAUUCAUCGCCCUACUCGUGCUUAUCAGAUUUGCCCAGCUCCUGUAGGAAUGACAGAAACUCAUCAAGUACAUAGCAACCCUAACAGAACAAAGAACAGGACUCUGCAGAGCACCGUUUGAAAACCAGUGAUCUAAUUCCAUCCUCUGGUGAGAAAAUGAGAUCCGGCCGGGACCAGUGGCUCACGCCUGUAAUCCUAGCACCUUGGGAUACCGAGGCAGGUGGAUCACCUGAGGCCAGGAGUUCGAGUCCAGCCUGCCCAACAUGGCGAAACUCCGUCUCCGCUAAAAUAAAAAAUACAAAAAUUAGCCGAGUGUGGUGGCUGACGCAUGUAGUCCCGGUUACUCGGGAGGCUGAGGCAAGAGAAUCACUUGAACCCAGGAGGCAGAGGUUGCAGUGAGCCGAGAUCACGCCACUGCAUUCCAGCCUGGGUGAGAUUCUGUCUCAAAAAAAAAAAAAAAGAAAGAAAAAGAAAAAGAAAUGAGAUCCAGAGAAACGAAGUUACUUGUUCAAGGUCAUUAGGAUUGAAAAUGAAGAGUCCUUACUUCCUUUGUAGUAAUAUGUAUAACACUUAAUUAUCCCAGAUAUAUUUUCUGGCAAGGUUCAUGGAAAAUAUGGUAAAAUAUUAUUUCAGUACCAUACUUCAAUACAAAAAAUUAAUAAAG